CUGGGGCUGUAGUCGGUCCCAAGGGUUGGGCUGUUCGCCCAUUAAAGCGGUACGCGAGCUGGGUUCAGAACGUCGUGAGACAGUUCGGUCCCUAUCCGUCGUGGGCGCAGGAAAUUUGAGAGGAGCUGUCCUUAGUACGAGAGGACCGGGAUGGACGCACCGCUGGUGUACCAGUUGUUCUGCCAAGAGCAUCGCUGGGUAGCUAUGUGCGGACGGGAUAAGUGCUGAAAGCAUCUAAGCAUGAAGCCCCCCUCAAGAUGAGAUUUCCCAUAGCGUAAGCUAGUAAGAUCCCUGAAAGAUGAUCAGGUUGAUAGGUCAGAGGUGGAAGCGCGGUGACGUGUGGAGCUGACUGAUACUAAUCGAUCGAGGACUUAACCAA
rnacentral:rRNA from 1 species